GGAAAUAGCACCUCUGUAGCUGGGUAAGAUUGAACGCAACAACCAAUUAAAAUCGUUCACAUGAUUCUUCCGAGUGUUUCGUUGUACACACACAUCUUUAGCGUACAUG